CGCGCCAUCCUGCAACAGUUCAAAAUGUCCAAAAUGCGAAGGAGUUCUUUAGUUCCUUCAAAUGCUCAGCUUCCUCGCGUUUAUCGGUUAGCGAAGAAGGAGAUAUGAGUAAAUUGAGUCUGGCAUCUUUUUAAGCGUGCUUUGAAUGACAAAGCCCACCGACCAAGUUGAACAGUCCAAGAUUGAGAGACUGCAUCAUGGCACACUGCCUCCACUUGUCAACCUUUCUCCGCUGCCUGUCCACAACACUCACACAGCAAGAGCCCCCUUCGCAUCAACCUGCAUAGGGAUCAUCUCCACUUGUCAACCUUCCUCCGCUGCCUGUCCACAACACUCACACACCAAGAGCCCCCUUCGCAUCAACCUGCAUAGAGAUCAUCUCCAAAACAUCAUCUGCUUUACAGGUACAGUCUGUCUCAUCUCCAGACAUGUAGUUUUGAUAAUGAAUUCUCAAUUUUUGCUCAAAUGGCCAGUGUUCUAUAUGUACUCCAUAGAUUGUGACCACUGCCUGUUUCCAGCCUUACAAAUAAUAUUUUUCAAUGCUCAUAAUUAUUUCCUUCCUGAAAUGUUUGUAAACAAUUGUUAAAUGGUGGUUGAACUGUUACGCACGGUAUACAGGAUGAAAGGUUGAAAAUGUUAUGUCAAGAAUAGCAAGCAUCACUCUUCCAAUUAUCCUGCACUUUCA